rnacentral:rRNA from 1 species
GACGAACGCUGGCGGCGUGCUUAACACAUGCAAGUCGAACGAAGUGGCGCACGGGUGAGUAACGCGUAAUCACCCUGUCCUUCAGAGGGGGACAACAGUUGGAAACGACUGCUAAUACCGCAUACUGAAGGUGGGGAUUGUGUGUGAUUUGCUAGUUGGAGGGGUAACGGCCAACCAAGGCGAUGAUCAGUCGCCGGUCUGGGAGGAGGAACUGCCACAUUGGGACUGGGACACGGCCCAGACUCCUACGGGAGGCAGCAGUGGGGAAUCUUCCGCAAUGGACGAAAGUCUGGCGGAGCAACGCCGGGUGAGUGAUGACGGCCUUCGGGUUGUAAAGCUCUGUUAAUCGGGACGCGGUACCGGAAUAGAAAGCCACGGCUAACUACGUGCCAGCAGCCGCGGUAAUAC